rnacentral:lncRNA from 7 species
AUCUUUCUUUCUUUCCUAUUGAACCAGAGCUGCUACCACCACCUGCAGAGGCAGUUGUUUUCUAUGUUUACCUUUUAGUGAAGGAGGAACCUUCAGGUACAAUGAGGAAUAGACAGCCUCACUGACCCCCCAAUACAUGGAUAACUGAAGGAUCACGCUGAAUCUUAGUGGAGAUAGUGUCAUGCCGAAGAACAAUAGGUCUUCAUGUACACACAAAUGCACUUUCAGAAAGAGAUUUCUCGGUUUCACUGAGCACCAUUCUCUGUUGAUGGACUUCAUCUCUUCAGUAAAACAAGCAUGUUGAAGAAAGACAAAUACAACAUGGACAGCUUAUGCCUAGAUAAAAGUCACCUGUCAAUAAGUUGUUUCUCCUCUUCAUCACUGACAUAAGCAAGCAUUUUAUGACUUAUGUCUGUCCGUCUGCUGCUGAAUAAAUUUUCUACCUGUGUGAAGAUUCAAGAAGAGGGUAUGGGAUAAUCUUCCACAGAUUUUUUCUUGUACUAUUACAUGUAAGAUGUAACAGAAUAUGAGAAUAAUUUAAAAUUAAAAGUUACAUUUCCAUCUUUUGUAGAGCUGAGGAAUUGUGAAACUCAGGAAUCUUCACUAGGAGUUUUGUCUCACAUGUUGAUUUACCCAUUUGAAAGGUAUUUUGGAUGUGCUCUGUGCAGAUGUUAAUACUCAGCUGAAAUCUCUCCCUUUGUAGAGGAGGAAUUCAUCACUACGCUAAUCCUUACAAGGAGUCGUGCUACUAUACGAGCAGAAUCUGAGCACAACUUAUUAUCUGAGUUUUACUUAAGCAAUAAACACAAUUUAAUUUCU